rnacentral:rRNA from 1 species
AACGAACGCUGGCGGCGUGCUUAACACAUGCAAGUCGAACGAUGAAGCCGGAGCUUGCUCUGGUGAAUUAGUGGCGAACGGGUGAGUAACACGUGAGUAACCUGCCCUUGACUCUGGGAUAACUGCUAGAAAUGGUAGCUAAUACCGGAUACGACCCUCGGAGGCAUCUCCAGGGGGUGGAAAGAAUUUCGGUCAAGGAUGGACUCGCGGCCUAUGAGCUAGUUGGUGAGGUAACGGCUCACCAAGGCGACGACGGGUAGCCGGCCUGAGAGGGUGGCCGGCCACACUGGGACUGAGACACGGCCCAGACUCCUACGGGAGGCAGCAGUGGGGAAUAUUGCACAAUGGGCGCAAGCCUGAUGCAGCAACGCCGCGUGAGGGAUGACGGCCUUCGGGUUGUAAACCUCUUUUAGUAGGGAAGAAGCGAAAGUGACGGUACCUGCAGAAAAAGCACCGGCUAACUACGUGCCAGCCGCCGCGGUAA